rnacentral:SRP_RNA from 1 species
GCCGGGUGUGGUGGUGGAUGCCUGUAAUCCCAGCUACAUGGGAGGCUGAGGCAGGAGAAUCACUUGAGCCCGGGAGGCGGACGUUGCAGUGAGCCAGGAUUGCACCACUGUACUCCAGCCUGGGCAACAAAGUGAGAUUCUGUCUCAA